rnacentral:rRNA from 1 species
GGGUAGGGGUGAAAGGCCAAUCAAACUCGGAAAUAGCUCGUACUCCCCGAAAUGCAUUUAGGUGCAGCGUUGAUUUAGUUUUAUAGAGGUAGAGCUACUGAUUGGAUGCGGGGGCUUCACCGCCUACCAAUUCCUGACAAACUCCGAAUGCUAUAAAAUGAUGAUCAGCAGUGAGGGCAUGGGUGCUAAGGUCCAUGUCCGAGAGGGAAACAACCCAGACCAUCAGCUAAGGUCCCCAAAUGUAUGUUAAGUUGAAUAAACGAGGUUGAAUUGCAUAGACAGCUAGGAUGUUGGCUUGGAAGCAGCCAUUCAUUUAAAGAGUGCGUAACAGCUCACUAGUCGAGCGAUUCGGCAUGGAUAAUAAUCGGGCAUAAACAUACUACCGAAGCUAUGGACUUGAAAAAGUGGUAGGGGAGCAUUGUAGUGUCGUCGAAGGUGAACUGCGAGGUUUGCUGGAGAAGCUACAAAAGAAAAUGUAGGCAUAAGUAACGAUAAUGCGGGCGAGAAACCCGCACACCGAAAGACUAAGGUUUCCUCAGCUAUGCUAAUCAGCUGAGGGUUAGUCGGGGCCUAACGCGAACCCGAAAGGGGUAGUGGAUGGACAACGGGUUAAUAUUCCCGUACCUGCUCUCAAUAAAAGUGACGGAUCUCUGUGGUUACUGCGUACUGACGGAAUAGUACGUUGAACCCUCGAGUAAUCGGGGGGAUAGUACACUGCGGCUACGGCCAAGGUGAUAAUGUAGCGAAAGAGGUUCCAAGAAAAGCGAGAGAAGCAGCCCGUACCGUAAACCGACACAGGUAGUUGGGAUGAGAAUUCUAAGGUGCUCGAGAGAUUCAUGGCUAAGGAACUAGGCAAAAUAGACGCGUAACUUCGGGAGAAGCGUCGCCUCCCUCCGGGGAGGCCGCAGUGAAAAGGUCCAGGCGACUGUUUAUCAAAAACACAGGGCUCUGCUAAAUUGAAAGAUGAAGUAUAGGGCCUGACACCUGCCCGGUGCUGGAAGGUUAAGUGGAGUUGUUAUCUUCGGAGAAGCAAUGAAACGAAGCCCCAGUAAACGGCGGCCGUAACUAUAACGGUCCUAAGGUAGCGAAAUUCCUUGUCGGGUAAGUUCCGACCUGCACGAAUGGUGUAACGAUCU